CCUCCUUAAACGAUGCAUCAUCCCUCGCGGUAAGCGCUCACAAUGAAUUACCUGAUCAGAUAGUAGAGCAAACGGUUGAUGCACGAUCCCCUCUUGGGUCUGUAGCUCAGUUGGUUAGAGCGCACCCCUGAUAAGGGUGAGGUCGGCAGUUCAAGUCUGCCCAGACCCACCAAAUUCCUGUGAUGCGGUGUUAAAACACUCCUCGUAUAACAUGAUUAUGCAUUGAGGUGUUUUUCUCGUCCUUACGGAAAUUUAUACAAGANGUUGGUUUUGC
rnacentral:tRNA from 1 species